rnacentral:rRNA from 1 species
GCCAGUGCUUGCACUGGUACUCGAGUGGCGAACGGGUGAGUAACACGUGGGUGAUCUGCCCUGCACUUCGGGAUAAGCCUGGGAAACUGGGUCUAAUACCGGAUAGGACCACAUUUUGGAUGGUGUGGUGGAAAGUUUUUCGGUGUGGGAUGAGCUCGCGGCCUAUCAGCUUGUUGGUGGGGUAAUGGCCUACCAAGGCGUCGACGGGUAGCCGGCCUGAGAGGGUGUACGGCCACAUUGGGACUGAGAUACGGCCCAGACUCCUACGGGAGGCAGCAGUGGGGAAUAUUGCACAAUGGGCGCAAGCCUGAUGCAGCGACGCCGCGUGGGGGAUGACGGCCUUCGGGUUGUAAACUCCUUUCGCUAGGGACGAAGCUUGUUUGUGACGGUACCUGGAGAAGAAGCACCGGCUAACUACGUGCCAGCAGCCGCGGUAAUACGUAGGGUGCGAGCGUUGUCCGGAAUUACUGGGCGUAAAGAGCUCGUAGGUGGUUUGUCGCGUCGUUUGUGUAAGCCCGCAGCUUAACUGCGGGACUGCAGGCGAUACGGGCAUAACUUGAGUGCUGUAGGGGAGACUGGAAUUCCUGGUGUAGCGGUGGAAUGCGCAGAUAUCAGGAGGAACACCGAUGGCGAAGGCAGGUCUCUGGGCAGUAACUGACGCUGAGGAGCGAAAGCAUGGGUAGCGAACAGGAUUAGAUACCCUGGUAGUCCAUGCCGUAAACGGUGGGCGCUAGGUGUGAG